UACGUAGGGGGCAAGCGUUGUCCGGAUUUACUGGGCGUAAAGGGCGCGUAGGCGGUCUUUUAAGUCUUGUGUGAAAUCCCUCGGCUUAACUGAGGAACUGCACGGGAUACUGGGAGACUUGAGUUCGGGAGAGGGAAGCGGAAUUCCGGGUGUAGCGGUGAAAUGCGUAGAUAUCCGGAGGAACACCGGUGGCGAAGGCGCUCUGCUAGGCCGCAACUGACACUGAGGGACGAAAGCUAGGGGAGCGAAUGGG
rnacentral:rRNA from 1 species